UAGUACGAGAGGACCGGAGUGGACAGACCUCUAGUGUGCCAGUUGUCCCGCCAGGGGCAUCGCUGGGUAGCUACGUCUGGCAGAGAUAACCGCUGAAAGCAUCUAAGCGGGAAACUCGCCCCAAGAUGAGGUCCCCCAUCCCGUUAAGGGAGUAAGACCGCCGGAAGACUACCGGUUUGAUAGGCGGGAGGUGUAAGCGCAGCAAUGCGUUCAGCCAACCCGUACUAACGGUCGAGGGCUUAACG
rnacentral:rRNA from 1 species